UGUGAGCCACGGCGCCUGCCUGGAAUCUGGACUGGGUGAGUAUCUCUUUGAAAGGCUCACUCUCAAGCAUGACUAAGAGC
rnacentral:pre_miRNA from 1 species